UACAAGUUAUUGAAGCACAAACGUAUAACAUUUAUUUAAUUCAGUCUAAGGGACUGUUUGUUUACCUCUUAAUGAGACUCUUAAUGGUCCAGAGUUCAGCACCUAGUGAUUAAGACUGUUUGUUUCGUGAACAGAUGUCUGAAUGAUUCAGACAUUUACCUCUGAAUGGUUAAGCAUUAUACUGAGUCUGAAUGGUUAAUACCUCUAAUCUGAAUUGGUCAAACAUAUGUCUCUAAACGGUUUAGCAUUAUAUUGGCUCUUAAUGGUUCAGAUCUCUCUUACUGGUUCAGACUUCUUACUGGUUAAGCACUUAAUCAUUUAGAAGUUAUCAAACAACCCCUAACUCUUUCCUAUUUAAAUUCUUAGAUUUUUUUUGGACUUCUUUUAUACGCUCUUCUCACGCGGGUACUUAAGGUAUUUUUUUUUCUUAAUAAACUUUUGACAAACUAAACACGUCUACCGCCACUGCAUUGUCACGUCUACCACCACGAACCAGAAGUAUUAUCGCCGCACCGUCACUUUUCCGCGGAGACCACCCCCUAACAACACGCAUUCGGUACGUUAUACACAAUAAUCCUAUUACUCAGAUCAUAAAACGUAUUUAUAAUUUUGAAGUUUUCUUUAGAUGGUCAAUUUGUUAAAUUAUAACUUUGGAAAUUCAAGCUAGGGGUGGUGAUUCGUCAUUUAACACACACACACAUAUAUCCACUAUUUAGUAGACAUAAGGAAUAAGGAUCCACUAUUUUUUUUCUUUUAAUUGUACUUACUGCUACCUCAUUUACAUACUUCUAAAGCUACAAUGGUUAAUUUCCAAAUACAUCAAUGAAAAUGAAUGUUAUGUGAUGUCGAUUAAUCAAUUCUUUAAUUUCCAGUUUAUUUAUCAAAUUUAUGCGUCUUUUACACUAUCUGCAAUGAUUUUAAAUUACAUUAGUUAUCGCGCAUCUCUAACUCUCGCACUCUCUAUUCUCGCAAACCGUCGCCGGAAUCUCGCCAUCGGACACCGCUGCAUUGUCACGUCUACCACCACGAACCAGAAGUAUUAUCGCCGCACCGUCACUUUUCCGCGGAGACCACCCUCUGACAACACGCAUUCGGUACGAUCCGGUCUGAUUCACGACCCAGCCCGUAUUAUCGCUGCACCGUCACUUUUCCGCGGAGACCACCCUCUGACAACACGCAUUCAGUACGAUCCGGUCUGAUUCACGACCCAGCCCGUACGCAUCGGUGUGCCACCAGUUCUGUUAUUCAUUGUUGAUUCUGACCCGUCACGUUUGGCUGUUAAGCCCAUACCUGCCUUCUCCCCAACAACCUAUAACCGCUCUGUCUACACGUGUGGCCAUGGCAAGGAAUGAUUCUGUUGCUGGGUAUUUAGAAAAAUGGACCACACUAGAAGCCAUCUUGAACCACGGUAGAAGAAACAAGCAUCACAUGGCAAUAACCAAAUCCAAAUUCGUAUAGUUUGUGACGACCAAGCUGACCCCACACGAUUGUUGGUUGUAUCCACAUCACAUAAGAGGACUAUAUUGCGGUUGAAAAAAAAUUAAUGUUUUUUUUAAUACCGAAAUCUAUUUUUUAAUACGGAAUUCACAUUUCGUGUACGUAUUAUAAUCAUGGUCAUUUUGAAUUCUUCAACUGCAAUAAUGUCCUGCUAGAUGGGGAUGAUUGUAAGCCCUUUGGAUCUUCCACACCUCCAUCGAUCCCCGCUAAAGACAAGGGGGUGCUACCCAUACCGAUACCAGUUAAGCGGGUUGAAGCGAUCAUAAGAUUCGGAUUUAGAAGAAAUAGUUGACAGUGACCCACAUGAAAGUCAGUUGGCUGGUGAUGGGAUUGAGGAUGACGGUGGCAUGCGUUAGCUAAAGUUUGGUCUAUGUGUUAUCCAAUAAGAUAGGAAGGCGUGCGAGAGUUUAUGCGUUUUUCCUUUGUCUGUUUCAUGUUUUUUUUUCUUGGAAGACAUCUUUUUUCACUUCUUUUUGGCCGGCAAGUUUUGCCAAGGAAACA